rnacentral:rRNA from 1 species
CCUACGGGGGGCAGCAGUGAGGAAUAUUGGUCAAUGGCCGAGAGGCUGAACCAGCCAAGUAGCGUGAGGGAUGACGGCCCUACGGGUUGUAAACUUCUUUUGUCGGGGAGUAAAGUGAGGCACGUGUGACUUUUUGUAUGUACUCUAUGAAAAAGGAUCGGCUAACUCCGUGCCCGCAGCCGCGGUAAUACGGAGGAUGCGAGCGUUAUCCGGAUUUAUUGGGUUUAAAGGGGUCGAAAGGGGAUGUGAAAGCCAGUGGUCAAAUUGGGGGGCCCAACCUAGUACUGCAGUUGAAACUGGAUCCCUUGAGUGCACUAGAGGUAGGCGGAAUGCGUGGUGUAGCGGUGAAAUGCAUAGAGAUCACGCAGAACUCCGAUUGCGAAGGCAGCAUAC